CGCACGGCGAGGUAGCUCUGCCCUACCCACCUCUCCCGAGGGCCAAGCACCAGCGCUUCCCCACGACAUCCCCCCGGUACCUUCCUCAGAGAGCGCGGCGCCGCUCCCCCAGCGUUCUCCUGACACCGCAGCGCGACCCGACCUCCUCCAGCCUCCAAGUCCUCGGGAGCGCGCAUCGACCGCCCCUUGCCGCCGUCGCCACCACACACCCCUACCGCACUCCCGCUGGCCCCGCGCCCCCUCGGCCGGCGGCGUGCACUGACCUGGACGAGCGCUGCAGCCGGUUGCCCACCCCUUGGACAGAUGUUGUGUGAAGACCUUGGGGAGACUUGCUGCGUUAAAAUGUAUUGCUGCAUUUGGGACCACAACCUUACGUCCUUCCUGAGACCUGAUUUUACAACAAGAAGUGACACUGAAGUGAUGAAGUCCCUGAGCAGAAGUGAAAGAGCCAAAAGAAGAUGCUGAAGGUUCAUGGGCAAUCCGCCCUCUAACAGUAUCUUGCUCCCUGCUGUGGCAUUAUGGAAUGAAAUUGCUUGGAGGUGUUGUGUGCUGUAGGUGGAAUACAAAAGCAGCCCUGGGGCUGUACUGGCUGAGAUGUGAAGCCCAAUGGGACUGCAACAAUUUUUAUAAAUAAUGAGACAAAUACUUGCCCAAGUCCAGGAAAUAAGUGGUUGAGGCUGAUGUUUACAACACAGUGGCAAACCUAUACUAAAAAGGCAUUAGGAAAUACCUUAAAGGUUUUAUGUCUGUUUCUGUAGCCAAUGGAAUAUUUUCUUCAGCUGCCAGAAUUAUAGAUUCAACCUAUAAUCAAGCUUCAUUGAUACAAGUAGCUAUAAAGAUUGUGAACAUCAAAUUACAGCUGUGCUUCCUCUUUCACAGCAUGCAUUGAGAUCUAGUGAUCUGCUUUUACUGACUCCAGUGCUGAUGACAGCUGAAUAUUCAGAUGAAUUUUACUCCUUAUUUUACUGCACUUGAUUUUUCUGAAGUUGUUCUGGGUCUGGUGGGAAAUUGUGAAUAAAAAUAGCUGGUAAAACUGUGCAAAUGAAGGCACAGCAUUAGGCAUGCAGUGUCAAAUUAAUGUUCUUUGAUCUUUUGUAGAAUCACUUAUAGUUGGAAAUACUCUUCUGACCUUUUCUCUGGCACUGAGAAUAUUGCUGUGUCACUCCCUAAUGUGAAAUCUGGACAAUUUACGGGCACUAAAGAAAAGUGAUGCUAAGGGAUGUGAAAAAUAGCAAGAAGGAACCAUGCUGUCAGCAUGGCAAUAGCCUCUUGGUCUCAUGGAGACUGAUGAGAAAAAAUUAUUAGAAAAGUUGCCCAUUGUGCAAUGACAUUUUUUCUGUAAUGUUUAUUGUAGUACAGAAUAAUGUAUUUUUCUCUGUGGGCUAGUCAACAGUUUGUCACCAGAGGCAGGGUGGCCAGCAGGUCAAGGGAGGUCACUCUCCCCCUCUCCUCUGGUGAGACCCCACCAGCAGUGCUGUGUCUAGUUCUGGGCUCCCCAACAAGAGAAGGGAGAAAUUCCUGUUGCAACAAGUCCAGAGAAGGCUAUGAAGAUGCUGAGAGGACUGGAGCACCUCUGCUAUAGAGACAGGAUGAGAGAGCUGGAGUUACUAAGCCUGGAGAAAAGAAGGUUCCAAGGAGAUUUUGGAGUCCCUUUCAGUCCUUUAGGGACUUCAGAGCCUGAAAAGAGGCUACAAGGGUAGCUGGAGAGGGAUUUUUUACAAGGGCGUUUUGUGAUGGUGAAAUGGUUUGAAACUGAAAGAGGGGAGAUUUAGACAAAAUGUUAGGAGGGAAAUUCUUUAACUGGAGGUUAGCAAGACACUGGAGGCUGGAGGGAGUGGUAGAUGCCCUGUCCCUGCAAGGGCUCAUGGCCAGAAUCAUUCUAUGUCUGGGACAUUGAUCUAUGGAUUGUUUAGCGUUUUUUUCCCCAAUUUUGAUUCUUCUGCGCCCUCCCUCUCAUCCUCCCAGUCCCAUUUUUUUUGUGGAAAGGAAAGUUAAGACAUUCUUCAGUGAGAAUUAAUGCUUUUGUCAUAUACUCUAGAGCUUUGCAAAGUGCCUGAUGAGAGCAUCACUAAAUACAGAGUAACAAAUAACAAUUAUAAAGUAUCAUAAAUAUAAAAUUAAACUCUCUCAUGGCUACUAUUAACAAUAAAAAAAUUAUAGCAGGAAAAAGAAGGGUUCACUCCAAUCAAAAAUUCAGUCACUUUCAAGCACUGUUAACUAUUAUGUAUAAUUUGGCAUUGGUGAUAGACAACGUUGCAACAAAAAGUUUUUUAAAAAAAACCCACAAGACCCCAAGUGCCAAUAGAAUAUUGCAGGCAUUAAAUUUUGAUUUGAAAACAUUUGAGACAUGCUGUGAUUUAGUCUUGAGUGUGUCAGCAUGACUUGCUUAUUGAUCUGAGCUGGUUUAUAAUUUCUGAAAUGAAAUAUAUAUAAUUGGGGGGUUGGUUUCGUGAAUUUUUUUCUUUAAUUUUGGGGCUUUUUGAUUUGGUUGGUUUUGGUACUGGUGGGUUUGUUUGUGUGUGAAACACUUGAAGGAUUCAAGUAGCACACAACCACAGCACCACAUUUAAACUGGCCAAAGUCAUUUGCAAAUGGGAAGCUUCUAAGGUUUUAAUAUAACUAGAAUAAGUUCUAUACUCAGGCCUUUUGUA